rnacentral:rRNA from 1 species
UACGAAGGGGGCUAGCGUUGCUCGGAAUCACUGGGCGUAAAGCGCACGUAGGCGGACUCUUAAGUCAGGGGUGAAAUCCUGGAGCUCAACUCCAGAACUGCCUUUGAUACUGAGAGCCUUGAGUUCGGGAGAGGUGAGUGGAACUGCGAGUGUAGAGGUGAAAUUCGUAGAUAUUCGCAAGAACACCAGUGGCGAAGGCGGCUCACUGGCCCGAUACUGACGCUGAGGCGCGAAAGCGUGGGGAGCAAACAGG